rnacentral:lncRNA from 1 species
GCUUUACUCUAAUCCAAACCUCAUGCUUUACUCUAAUCCAAAUGUUCUUCAUCAACAAGCACUUGAAUUACCUCAAUAGUGAAAAUUGAUGAAUGUGCAUCGUUUAUUUGAAAAGCAACCUAAAAAGAAAAAAUCUAAAGAGUAAAUUAGAAAAUGCAGUCAUGAGUGUUUAUGGCUGUAAAAAAUGUUUACUUUUUCCUUUUCCUUUUGAGAUCCUAUAUUUUUGAGAGAUUGUAUGUUGAUGUGUAACUAUGGAAAAAGAUACAAUCUAUCCAAACAUUAUAUUCAUCAAAACAAUACCACAUAUACAAUACAACACAAUAUAAGAUAUGUAUCAACUAGGGAUGACAAUGGUGCGGUGCAGAUUUUUACUAAAUUCGCAAGUUUUAAAACCGCACCGCACCGCACCGCAUGACACUUAAACCCGCAUAAAUCCGCCCCACAUUCAUACCCGCGGAUAACCGCACCGCCCCAUGUUUUUAUUUUUUCCCUUUUUUUUGAAAAAUUUGUAACUCUAUUGAAAAUCAUAAUAUUUUCAAAUCUACAACUAGAAAAUAAUAACUAAUUUCUAUUAUAUCACUUUUCACUAAAAAAUUGUCAAAAAGUAUAACGUGUACAAGUAAUGAUCAAAUAUCAUAUUUUUAUUCAAAUGAAUAGAGAUGUUAAAAAAGCUACUAUAAAAUUAUUUAUUUGAAGUGUUAUGCAUGUAGUUUUAAGUAUCAUAAAAUUUAAGUAAAGAACACAUAUAAUUUUAGGUACAUUCACGAGAAUAAUAUUAAUUUUUAGCUUUUUUGUUAUUUUAAACCCGAAGGGGAGCCUUGGAGUAAUUGGUAAAGUUGCUGCCAUAUGACCAGGAGGUCACGGGUUCAAGCCUUGGAAACAGCCUCUGGCAGAAAUGCAAGGUAAGGCUGCGUAUGAUACACCCUUGUGGUGGGGCCCUUCCCCGGACACCGUGCAUAGUGGUAGCUUUAGUGCACCGGGCUGCCCUUUGUUAUUUUAAACUCGCAUAUACCCGUAACCCGCACUGCACCGCACCAUUUUAACAAAAAUUACUUUAAUCUGUACUGCACUGCAUAACUUAAAACCCGCACAGCACCCGCACCGCUCCAUUGCCAUUCCUAGUAACAACCGCAGCUAAACACUAUAUGUGAAUUAUUGUUUAUUACUACGUGCAAGUUCCUCAUGCCAAACCAUCAAACAGACAAAAAAAAAAAAACAAUGUAAGAAUUUUGAGAAAUAGUAAAAUCUAUUUAAAUUUCAAAGACGACUUUGAACACAAAAAUGGUGACAAACUUUCUUAUCAACAAUUUCACGAAGACCUAAACCUAAACUAAACCUAAGCUUAAAUAAAGAAUCUAUAAAUGUAUAAUGAAUCCUACUAAUUGGUAGCAAGAAUCCAAAAUAAAUAAAAAACCAACGAAUCCUAAAUUAAUUCAACACACCAACAAAUUCUAGAUGAACUCAACACACGACAAAAGACGUUUACACUUAAAAGGUAUUGAAUAACAUCUUAUAUUUUAGGUAAACAAUAAAAUGUCUUAUUAUUUUCUAUAAAAAGAAUUAUAUAAUAAUUUAAGAAAAUAGUGAAAAGAUGAUUUUGUCUAUUGCGGAGUUAAUGAAGGAUAAAAAUUUCAAAUCAGUUUUCUAAGAGUCUCCACACUUUUAAUAUAUUAUAGAUAUAGAUAUAGAUAUAGAUUAUAGAUAUAGAUAUAGAUAUAGACAUAAAUUAUAGAUUAUACAUUAUAGAUAUAGAUUAUAGAUUAUAGAUAAAUUUUUAUUUCAAAAAAUUUAAAGAUUUUAUAUUUUAAUUAAUGAUCAAAAUUUAAAAUUUUGACUUUGAAAAUUCAAAUGGUGUCAUUUAAAUUAGAUGACGUAAUUAAUAGAAAUAAUUGAUUUGAUGUUUCUUUUUCACUUUUCCAAGUAAUUUUUAAUCAUUGUUAGAACAUUUUCUUCCAUUAUACCUUUUAUAUAUACUAACAUGCAACUUAAAUAAAUCUUAAAACCCCGUGAAUUAAAGUUAUAUAUGACAAAUAGAGCAAUAUACAUUAGAAUUCCAAUAAGAAUUGAUUUUAGCAUUACGGAUUAUAUAAUUUUUUAAAAUUCUAAUAUGUUUCUUACAUUUUUAAAACGAAGUAUAAAGUGGUCACUAUUCAAAUAUAAAAUUCAAUCGAGAUUGGGGUCAAUCUCACGAGGAAUAUGAUCAGGACCUAGGUUAAUAUGAUUAUUUGGGCUUUUAGCCUUUUAUUUCCGAAAGGGGAAAAUUUUGUAACAAAUAAUAGUUGAAAAUUGUAAGUAACCAAAUAAUAGAGUGUCAAUUAACGUUGUUUGCAAUCAGUGAGAAACUAGAAUUGUGUUUCCCGUAAUUUCAUAACGUAGUAAGCUUGUCGUACUAGCAAUCUAUCAUUCAAAAUCGGUAAGUUAAGUUCACCUAAAUGAUUGGUCCCUAGAUAGAUGAAUAUCACCAUAUAACUUGGUCCGUCUACGGGUGUUUGCUUUAUUAACCCUUAUUCUUGAUUAUAGAUUAGCUAUUUUUGGACAAGGUCAAAUUAUUAGAUGAAGGUUGAUAGCCUCAAAUUUUCGUUGUUAAUCUCUUUCUUAUUUGUCAACUCUUCGGUCUAGUAAGUAAGAAUAAGGUGACUUCUAACGUUGGCCGCCAUUAAAAAAGUAAUCAAUACGAAGAGAACAAUACACCAUUCAAGAAUCAUCAAGUAGUUUGUGUAUUUUGUUAAUUCGUCAUUGAUUCCCACAACCCAAGUUGUGGAUUUAGGUACUCAUGCUUGAGAAUCACAAUUUAUAGCUAUAUAUAAGAGAGGAUGUUAUACUUUUAGCAGUCCCACAAGGACAUUUUUGUUAUUCUAAUUUGUUUGGUCAAAUAAGGUUAUUACACAUAGCAUGUGAUGGUGAUUUUUCUUAUAUAUUUUUAUUUUGGCCCUUCUUGUUAAGAUCAUUGCACUUGAUUUUUACAAUUGGUUUCUUCUUGCCACUUGUUAGAUUAUCUUUUAAUUAAAAUUUCCUUCAAUUUAAAUCAACAAUAACUUUAACUCAAAAAAAUUAUUCAAGAUAACUUAGUACAAAAUUAAAUUUUGUAAUGAUUCAACUAUUACCUUAUAAAUUUUUCUAAAAUUAUAUUGAAUCCUCUAGAAAGAUAUAAUACAAAAAAUAACUUAAAAAAUAAUAUCUUAUAUUUAUUAUUUUUUUUGGUGGAUAUGAAAAAAAGACAAAAGAAUAAUUAAAAUGGGGUGAAUAGGAUAUUAUUUUAAGGGGCGUAUAAAAUAUACGUAACAACUAAAUCGAUCAAAUGGAGUAAUGUAUUAAUGUUAGUUUAAUUAUCGUUUAAUAUUCUUAUAGAUCAUUAUUAAAUUAAUUUAUAUGACUCUAAAUUAAGGUUAUAAUUGUUAUAAUAUAAACUUGAAGUCAUUGAAAUAUUUUAUUUCAGAUAAUUCUAUAAGAUGAAAAAAAUAUGUUGCAAAACUCUUGCCACUAAAAUCAUGAAAAGAAACUAAAACUCAAUAAAUAAUAUUUUCUAUUGUGGCCUUCUUUGAAUCCUAAUUAUUACAUAUUUUAAAGCAUAUUAUUUUAUAAAAUAUCAAUUUACAUGUAGCAUUUUGAUAUAUUAUAAUACUCUAGCAAUACUUUCGUCCUCAUAAUUUUUUUUUUUAAAUUAUUCAAUUAUGUGAUUAAAGAUUUUAAUAAUUAUGAAAACUUAUCAACAAGAUAUGUUAAAUACACCAUCCGAUUACACUAAUUAUAAAGUAAUAAAUAUAUGAUAUAAAUUAUAUUUUUAAAUUUAAAUUAUUGUGUUUAUAUCUUGACUUUGAGCACGGGCCUCAUGAAACUAGUAUAAGUUAUAGACAAACUCAUAAUUAUGAACCUAUGAGAUUGAGUAGACGAAAUUCGGACACUUAAAUUAUGAAAGAAAAUUUAAUAACCAAGAAUCAAUGUAUGAAUAAUUCUUCAAAACCCAAGAACAAAACAAUGUAUGUGUUUCUAAGGCUCCAAAGAACAUAAUAAUGCAUAAAAAAUAGAAAACCUAGGACAGAUAUUUAUAGACACAAAAUAAAACCUACUCUAAACAUAAUUAGAUUGCAGGCUCGGAGUGCUUACGAGUCGUCAGACAACUCGUCAGGUGUGGUCACGGCUCGUUCCAUGCACUUCGUUCGCCUGUUGUUGUGGCUCAACUCGUUGGGUUAUCGUACGAGUCGUACAGUGAAUCGUGACCCUAAGACUUGAUUUGCACCUUUUCAGUAAUUUUUGCCUAUGACUAAUCAAAAUGACUCAUCAUAACUCGUGCCUUCUCAUCACAAUUCAUAGCUUCUUUUCGUGGUAACUAACUCAUAUUUUUAAGCUUCUGAUCUUUCUGCCAACUCCGCAAGUCGUUCAAUCUAUCCGUGGUCACUGGUCCAAAUUUACAUCUUUCAGCUUCUCUACUUCACGAUCUUUCAGAACGAGUCAAGAAGACUCUGGCUUGACUUCACGACCCGUCACUUAGCAAUCAUAUGUAGCAUUUGAAGUUCCAUCUUCUGGACUUUAUCACUUGUCAUCACAAUGAAUCAUCGUACGUCUCAUGGCUUGACGCUAUGAGUCGUCCCUUGGCUCUAAUAGUUACACUAGGCAUUUUUCAGUCUUUUUUGUUGUUCACUUUCAAGACCUAUUUUUCUGCACAAACUCACAAACCUACAUCAAAUCUAUCAAAAAAUACUUAAGAACGUACAACAAUCUCAUGUUCUAGGCAUAGAAGGUGUCGUGAAACCACAACAUCAACACCCUCAACUUAGAACAUUUGAUUGUCCUCAAGCGACAACAUAAAACUAUGCUAACACCAAACUUAAGCAAAAAUAACCUAUUUAUUCCUAUUUAUGUUUUGUCAGCAAUUAUUCCUCCAAAGAGUGUGAUUAAAGAAUUGAAAAGAAUCUUUGCAAAAUUCUUUUGGCAUCAUAAAGAAUUUGGAGGAAGUAAGCAUUGGUCUGCUUGGGACAACAUUUGUUUACCCAAAGAGGAAGGGGUAUUUAGGAUUUAGAUUCUCUAUGGACCAAGUUUCUCUGGAAUAAAUAUUGUAAAAAACAAAUUUCAUCUUUGGUUUAAUAGAAAGGGGGAUCUCAGGUGUGGAAAGCUAUGAUAAAUUGUAGGGAGGAGGUCGAACAGUAUUUGUGGUGGGAACCAAAGAGUGGCAAUUCAUCUAUCUGGUUUGAAAAUUGGUCCAAUUUGGGUCCACUAUACUUGCACCAAUCUGAAACUCACUCUUGUCAUCCUUUGAAGGAUAUAAGUGAAUUUAUUACAGAGGAAGGAUGGAACUAUGGGAAAAUGAAAGAUAUGGUCCCAGAGUAUGUGAUUAGUCAUGUUAGAGAUAAUUUGGAGCCAGUUACUUAUGAUAAUAUCAUGGACAAACCUUGGUGGACUAAAAGCAGUAAAGGUCACUUUACUACAAGUAGUGCUUAGGAAUUGUUUAGACAUAAAGCUGCAAAGAAUGAAGAUUUAAAGAGCCUUUGGAGCAAAGGUUUACAUUUCAAAUAUUCAUUUUUUGCUUGAAGAGUAUGGUUAAGAUUUAUUCCUACAAAUGAAAUUAUGAAUAAAUGGAAUCCUGCAACAUCUGCAAAUUGUGGAUGCUGCAUUAUUCCAGAAAGAGAAACAAUAGAACACUUAUUCUUAAGAGGUGAAAUAGUUGAUAAAGUGUUGACACAAUAUUGUGGUAGAGCUGGCAUCAUAGAUAAAAGACUUAAUUUGAUGCGAAGUCUUAGACUAUGGAGGAAUCAUGAAGGAAAUAGUAGAUUAAAAGUUGUAUUUAAGGUGGUUCCUAUAUUAAUGUUGUGGUUUAUGUGGAAGAGAAGGAACAAUGUUCUUCAUGGAGGCAAGUAUCAGGAAAUGAAAGUGUUCUGAGAAAUUGAUGCUACCAAAGCUAAAUAUGUUUAAGUACAAAUUUAAUAUGAAGAUGAUUGGAAAAAUGUGGACUGAGAUAAUUGAUGAAUUGCAAAAACACAAGAGUUCUUAUAUUAUUAGAACUAUGAGGUGGAUACCUCCCGACAAAAGAGUGGUUGAAAGGUAAUACUGAUGGGUCUUCACUGAUACAAGUACGACGACGAGGAUGGACGUGUGAAAGUGUAAUGAACCCGAGGCUUGAAGUGUGCAAGAAAAAUGCAAAAGAGGGCCUAAAACACCCACCAAAACCGAACCUACACUACACUCCAUGGGCGACAUUUUGAGGCUUUUCAUUAAAGGGCCUUUUGGUCAUUUUGUAUUCUAUUGUAACCUAGUAUAAAUAGAACAUAUUAGGUCAUUUUUGUCUUAGACUUCGAUGAUAUUGUAAGUUGUAUAACACUUUGAAAGACAAGUCCUCUCUUCUCUUUAGGAGGCAACCCAAAACCAGGGUGAUACUAGUGUAGAAUCACUAGUGUUGCAUUCAUGGCUUGAGACGUUGGUGUUUAAAGGAGGUAAAGUCCCUCUUGUGUCAACGUAGGAGUUAGGUUAACCGUUGUGUGUAGCACCUUUCUAUCUCGUCAUUAUGUGUUGUAGUAAAUCCGAGAGUUGGUCCCCAAUAGGUCCUCAAAUCUUGUGAUUUGUGGACUGUUUGGAGUGUAAUUUUGCGUAUCCCUUUGUUUUAUUAUAUCAUUUGGUAUCAAAUACGUGGCUUGUCUUGUUCCUACAAGAUCAAUCUUGGGCUUGUUAGUUAAAAAAAAAAAAUUGAUGAAAAAAAACUGAAAAUCCAGAAAAAUAGCAAUCUGUCCAAUUUGUGUUCUUGGCCGAAAAUUGUGUUCUUGUUGUGUAUUGGCCAAGAUUUUUACUUGUCUUUGUUGUCUCUAAGUGUUAGUAUUGUUCCUCACUAACACAUUGAGUCUAUAUCUUGGAUUUGAGCUUGAAAUGUUGAUGUUGUUGUUGUGAACAUAAGCUUGGCCGAUUGUUGUUGGUGUUGUUGUGGCUCACGGUUUGGAAUUGUAAUGUGAAUAUUGUUGUUGUUCUUAGUUCGGCCGUGUGAUGUUGUUAUAAAAUUGGUGUCCUAAGACCAAUUUUGUUAAAGAUACGGUAGUCUUGGCCGGGUGAGACAAUAUUGUUGUGGGUUUAGAGUGGGCUGUGAAAAGGGAAUUGUUGGUGUUCUUGAAAAUUGUUGUUGUUGUUCUUGGUGAAUGAUGUUGUUAUUCUUGAUGUUCAUCACUAACUUCAUACCUUUCUAGAAAAAUAAAGUGCUUAUUUGAUCCAAAAAGAUGAAGGAAAAGGUGUAGAAACUUGUUAGUCUUGAAAGACCCCCAACCACUAAAGACCUAUCAAUCACUUCUCAACAACUUUUCCAUGAUUUAAGGACCUUAUCNNNNNNNNNNNNNNNNNNNNNNNNNNNNNNNNNNNNNNNNNNNNNNNNNNNNNNNNNNNNNNNNNNNNNNNACCAAUUCCAAAUUACAAUUGGAUCAAGACUUGAAUUGGAAAAUAAAAUUUGAUAACAACCGCAACCAAUACGUGGCCGCCACGUCACGUUUUACUGUUCACCGACAAUUUUUAAGCUCAAAUUUUAGAUGUCUUUGUUUCUUAUUUGUUGAUCCUUCGUGUUGUUUAAUUGAUCCUAGUACUAAUUAAUAAACUAGUAAACUCCUACUAGAUUGUCAAUUAGUCCUUUGAAUCCAUUGUUCGUGUCUAUGUUUCUUUUGUGCUUUUAUCAUUUUUAAAAUCAUUGUACUUCUUGGUUCAAGUUCGGACACUACUUUCCUUGAGUCUUCAAACAAAGAAUCCAUUCCGACCAAGGAGAAGGCUCACCCCUCGAUUCAUCACGAACUACGAGCCGACUUGCAACACAUGUGAAUCUAAGUGUGAGACAAUUAACUGUGUGAGAGUGUGGUGAGGUUGUUUCGAACUAACUUGUGUUUUGCUUUGUAGGCUUGUUCUUUUCUUUUCUUUUCUUUUUUAAGGUACAAUUACAAGGGAACCCGCGGCUUCAACCUCUCAACCCAUGGACAACAAUGCCACCAAUGUCAUUUUGGCCUACCUUGGCACUAUGUCCCGAGACCUAGCUAUGGCAAAUGAAAGGUUGGAUCGUAUGGUAGGUCAAAGGGAGAAAGUGGGCUACCUGGACACACAUCAAGAGGAAGGCCGUAGCUCACGUGAGUUAUGAGGUAAAAACAUUAUCCUCUACAUUCCUAUAAACUUAGAAUGUUGUGUUGUGGCUAGUAGGAGCCAAGUAGGUGUAGUUGCGACUUUGCCUAGGGUAGAAGUGCUCGAGUCUCCUUUUUGUGAUACUCUCGGUAUUGUUAGGCCACAUGAGGACCAACCUCUUGUUGUAGGUACGCAAGCACUAGUUGAUCCUUUAGAUGACGAAAUUGAUUCUCCUCGUGAGAAUGAUUUGUGUCCAUCUAGUGCUAGCACUUAUAACUUAACUAAGGUUCCGUUACCAAGUGACGAGAGUAUUCACACACUAGUUGACCCUUGUGAAAACCAAGGUGGGUCUACGUUGGUAUAUGAGUUGCCAACAACUAGUGAGGUUGUGGACAAUGAUCAAUCAGGUGGAAAUGACCUUGACGUGCUUGAUUGUUUAGGAAACCCGAAUUGUGAUUGUCUUGGUAAAAAUGGUUUUGCUUGUGAUCCCUUUGCUGCCCAUGAUAGUUUAUGUCAAUGUAGGGACUACUCUCUUGAAAGAGAAAGUGUUGCAUGCUUAGAAAUUCCAUGUACUUCUUCUUUAUGUGUUUCCUAUGUUAAGCCUACUAGUGUUGUUGAACUUGAAACUAGUGAGUAAAUGUAUAAGGAGAUCAUAGUUGGAGUUGAAUCGUGUGACACCUUUCUUUAUCCUCUUUGUGCUUAUGAUAUUUUCCACGGGGAUAUAGAGGGUAUGCCUAAUUUUGAAGAUGGCACCUUAGGGGAAAGUGAGAGUGGCCGAGGCCUAAGUCCUUGGUUACUCCAUCCUUAGGGGAAAUCCUAAGAUCUGCACCUGGUGAGAGCUUGAGGUAUCGAAAGAUUGCGUAUUCAAAUACUGGUUCAUUAUAAUCGAAAUGGAAGCUCCGAUUUUGAGUUGGUGUAUCACUGCAUCACGAAUUUCAGAAUAAUUUCAUUACUUUCUUUGAAUUCUCUUGGAUUAAGUGGUGGUAUUAGUUUCAAUAGAAGCUAAAUCCACUGAUUUAAGACAAAUUAAAGAAAGAAAUGAAACUUAUCUGAAUUAUUGGAAGUAUAAAUCAGGCAGCAUGAUAAUCUUCGGUACACUAUUAAAAUGCUUGAGUGUUGAACCAGAUUUACUCCAUUUCACCAUUGAAGCAACUCUUGCAUAGGAGGAGAAGAUGAAUUCAUUGUUGUUAGUUUUAGGAAAGCUUGGCUUUCUAUUUCCUAAUAGGGUGAGGAAGAAGCUGAAGCACGACGGCGGGAACCUCAUCGGCGAUCUAGACGGAGAAGACGAAGGGACAACACUGACUGCUUUACUUUCUAAAAUGAGUCCAAAACCUAAUAUUGUCUGAUAAUUUUAUUUUUUAGAUCCAGGUCAGGUCACUUUUUGGCCUAACCCAUUAUUUUUGUAUUGAACUUAUUUUGCUUUUAAUAAAAUGGGUUAUGGCCCGAUUUAAACUUAAAAAAAAAAAAAAAAAGCAAAAAUAACCUAGGAAAACUACGACAGACAUAUGACAUUCGGCAGUAUCUUUCACAAAUUCAAUCCCCCUCCUUUCCAAAUCUUUAUAAAAUCAGUUACAAUUAUUCCACACUUAUCAAAAAUAACACAAAAGGGACGUAUGACUUCACGACAUCAAUAGAUAAUUAUGCAUACACAAACGACAACCAUCUAACAAUUAUCAAUUGACAGGAUGACUUUAGUGCUCUCUAGGUGUUCACGGUUUCAUUUUUAACCAAAUCAAACCGCGAUUCAAAUCAAAUCGAUAUUUGAUUAGGUUUGGUUUGAUUUGGUUUUGAAUUUUAAAAAAUCGAUACUAAUUUGGUUUGGUUUUACUCUAAAAUAACCGAUAAAAUAACCAAACUGAACCAAUAUAUAUAUAUAUAUAUAUAUAUAUAUAUAUAUAUAUGUGUGUGUGUGUGAUAAUUAUUUAUAUAUUAUUCAUAAAUACAAUCUAAAUAUUUGUUACAUUUUAUAAUUUAAUCAUGAUUUAACUUUAGUCGUAACAUAUUCAGUCAUAUGUCUUCAUCCAAUUGACAAUACCUUAUGAGAUUCUAAAUGAAUUUCUCAUUUUGAAUGACAAAUAAUACUAAUUGUGAAAAUAAUAUCUUGUUGUAUAUUUAAUUUUACGGCUGACAUUCAUUAGACUAUAGACAAUCACUAAUUUUAAAUUUCUUUUUGAACCUUGUUGAGCAAGAAGUUUAUGUGUUCACAUUAUAAUAUCAUUCUUUUAAAUAUUGUUUUUUAAUAUUUUCUUAGAAGUGUUCAUAUGGUGCUGUCAUGACUUUGCAAAAGUAUAACACUCAAUUGACAUCAUGAUUUCAAGGUUGAUAUACAAUAUUCGGUUGACAUCUCAUUUGUUAGAUUGGAUUUGUUUUUUUAAAUUUUCACCUUUUAACAUUAGCUAAAGUUAUAAAUCGAAAAAACCGAACCAAACCGAACUAAACUGACAAGAACCAAAUCGAUGGUUAUUUUUUUAUUUGGUUUGAUUUUAAAAAUUUUAAAACCGACUAAGUUGGUUUGGUUAUGGUUUUGACCAAUAACCGACCCAAACCGACCCAUAAACACCCCUAGCUCUCACUACAAAGAAGUCCUGUACACACACAUGUUUAUUUAAAAAUGGUGUCUCGAUUAAUUAGCUCACAGUCACAAAGAAGUUCAAAUAAUGCAUGUACAAUAUCAUAUGUUUGUUCUUAUUUUUUAUACCUUUAUUUUUGGAUAGUCGAGUUAGAAUCACUAUAAAAUUUUACUUGAUUUGUAAUGUAAGUUUGAAUGCAAAUAUAAUAUAUUUUAAGAAUAGUGACUCAAUCCUCCUUGGCACUAUAAUAUUUUCUAUUUUUUCUUCUUUUCUUCCACUCCCUUUCUCCCUUUUCUUUUAUUUACUAGACAAGCAUGACCCGUGUCAGCAUGGACCCAACAUUAAGAUAUUUAUUUGUCUUUUCAAUCUUGAUAUAUUUAAAAUAAAAUUCUUUAAUAAAAGGAUUGCAUAUGUUUUCUAAGAUUCAUCCGGAAUCUAGCAUGAGUUCAACAUAUGUUAUUUUAAUAUAUAUUUAGAUAAUUUAAGUUGUUAACUAUUGUAAUUUAUAAUAUUUUGUAUGUAUUUUUUAAAUUAAUAUACGUUACUUUUCUUGUCCAAAUUUUUGUGGCAUUGAUAGUCAAUUAUAUUUUAAAAAUAAUUUAAUUUUUUAAUUAUUGUGAUUUAUAAUACUUUUCUUAUAUUCCAAUUUCAGUGACACAAAUAUAAUUUCAAGAGCCGACCAAAUAUUUUAUAUCUUUAAAUUUUUUAAGUUGUUGAUUAUUGUGAUUUCUAGUAUUUUCAUGUAUUUUUUUUUAAAUAUAUAACAUAUUAAUUUUUUUCCAGAUAUUUUAAGUUGCUUACAAUUGUAAUUUAUAAUACUUUUUAUGUAAUUUUUGAAUAAUAUAUGCUACUCUCCUUGUCCAGAGUUUUGUGUCGACAAUAGCCAAUUAUAUUUUUUAAAUAAUUUAAAUUUUUAAUCAUUGUGAUUUAUAAUAUUUUUUCUAUCUCAACUUAUGUGGCACAAUGCUUAAAUGACCAUAAUAAUUAAUUAGGGGUAAUAUAGUAAAAUCACGACUGAAGCAGAAAUCAGUUAAUUUAAAAAAAAAAAUUGUUAAUUUUUGCUAUUUACAUUUUUUAUUUUAUUUUCAAAUAAUAUAUGUUGUUUUAUAUCUUCUUCUGUCUCGUCCCAAGUUAUGUGGCACUAAUAUAAUUUUGAUAGUAAAUCAAAUAUUUUAUGUUGACAUAUAAUUUUGUUAUUCUUAUUUUUCUAAUACAUAAAUGACUUAUAAUAAAGAGUGAUAUAGUAAAAUCAUUGUUCGAAAGACGAAAAUUUAAUUUAAAAAAUUAAGAGCUAAUUUCGUAUUUUAUGUCUAUUUUAUUUUUCAUUAAAUAUUAUUUAUUUUAUUAAUACCUAGAUGACUCAUAAUAAUUAAUUAAGAGCGACUGAUUAUGUUAUUACUAUAAAAAUUAAUAUAAUUUUAUCAUAUCCAAUAGUAAUCAUCUAUAAUUCACCAAAAUAAUAUAUUAAUUAAAUACGAGAUGCUAUAUUUGCAUAUGCAAAAUAUGGUAUUAUUAAACAUUAUUGGAUAAUGCAUUAUAUUUAUCUUUCACAAUAAUAAAAUUUUACUAUAUAUUUUAUCUAUUUUUAAAAAAGUAUUUUAACUUGUUAAUUAUUGUGAUUUAUAAUAAUUUUUACGUAAUUAUCAAAUAAUAUAUUUACUCCUUGUGUCCCAAUUUAUGUGGCUUCGAUACAAUUUUGAGAGUCAACUAAAAUUUUUAUAUAUCUUUUAACUAUUUUAAGUUGUUAAUUAUUAUGAUUUGUUGUACUUUUUUUUAUCUCAAUUUAUGUGGUAUUGCUAAAAUAAUGAGAGUCAAUAAAAUUUCUAUAUGUGGCAACAAACUAUUGUGAUUUGUGGUACCAAAUUAAUUUUGAACAUGAUAGCUAAUUAAAUAAAUAAAAAAAAUUUACUUCCAAUAUGUAGUUAUAGUUAAUUAAUAUAAAUUAAUAGAAUAUAUUAAAUAUUUAAAUUAUUAUGAUGAAACAAUGAAAUUGUUAUAUAUUGGGGCAUGGUAUGUAAUAAAGUGGGAGUAGAGGGUCUUUUUUUAUAAGUCAAUAAAAUUUCUGUAUGUCUUUUAAAUAUUUUAAGUUAUUAAUUACUGUGAUUUGUGGUAACAAAUUAGUUUUGAACAUGAUAGACAAUUAAAUAAAUAAAAAAAUUUACUUUCAAUAUGUAGUUAUAGUUAAUUAAUAUAAAUUAAUAGAAUAUAUUAAAUAUUUAAACCAUUAUGAUGAAAUAAUGAAAUUAUUAUAUAUUGAAGUAUGGUAUGUAAUUAAGUGGAAGUAAUUAGUUUUUUUGGUAAUUACAAGAAGUGGUCGAAACCACCUCUUCUAUAUAAUAGAAAUUUCCAACUACAUAUGUGCUCUUCUACUUUUUUGGCUCAUCAGCUUUCUCUUCGUUCUUCUUUUUUCACAUUUCCUUUCUUUUUCUUUUCUUUUUACUAUUUUUUGCAUACCCUACCCAAAAUGAAGCCACCUAUGAUGUGACCAGUCAUUGUUGAGCGGUCACCAAUACUGCUUGUUACUUGUUAGGGAUUGCUUGGUAGAGUGUGUUAAAAAAGUUAAUGUUUGCAUUAGCUUUAUGUAUUACUAAUAUCUUGUUCGGUAUACUUUUGCAUCCUAUAUAUUAGGGGUGGCAAAAUUAUCCCAACUCAAAUGACCCGUCCAACUUGCCCAAAGUUUGAUGGAUUUGGACAAGAGUGAUUUUGAUAAGGGCAAAAUUCAGAAAUAGCAUACUUAUCCCCUUAAUUAUGAGUUUCAUAGCAACAGUUUCAUAAUUACAUAAUAUAGCAAAUUGUAUUUUGUAUUUUUGCAAACUGUUGCUACAAAAAUAUAAAUACAUAUGAUUUUUACUGCCUUUAUGAUUAAUAUGUAUUUUGUAUUUGUGAGCAAUAAAAUUUUAUUAAAUUUAAAUCUGUACAAAAUUUGGAUAAUAUUAAAUUUAAAAUAUAUUAGCCCCAAAUAAAUAUUGUGGAUUAUUGGAUUGAUCAUUUAAGUCCAAACAUGCAUGGAUUUAAUUAAAGUCCAAUUGUUAUUGGUUAGUUCAUUAAUUUGAGCUAGAAAUGGCUAAGCCCACUUUAUCAAGCCCAAGAUGUCAUCAUAUUAAUUUGGGCUAUAAAUGACUAAGCCCACUUUAUCAAGUCCAAGAUGUCAUCAUAUUCUAGAGGCCCAGUUUGGUGCCGCAUGUCAAAUGAUGUGGCAUGCCAAGUCAAGUGAAGGAGCCAAUAGGACCAUGCCACGUGUCAAAAUGAUGCAGUAAAUUAAAAGCCCAUAAGAAAUGUCAUGUCACUUAAAUCUGAUUGGUCAAAGAAAGUUCAUGUUUAUACUCUUUACUUCCUACAACUAUAAAUAGGGACCUCAUAAUUCAGAAAAGAGAGGAACAAGUUUAACAAAAAGCAAGAGAGACCUCAUGGAUCAAAGGAGCAGAUUUCUCUACAAAUUCAAGAAUUCAAGAUCAGUUCAUCAAGCUUCAAGAUCAAGAGUUCAAGAUUCAAGAACAAGCUCAAGAUUUCAAGAUCAAGAGUUCAAGGUUCAAGAACAAGUUCAAGCUUCAAGAUCAAGACUUCAAGAUUCAAGAACAAUCUUAAAGGCCCAUGAAUUCAAGUACAAGUCGAGAUUAAGCUUACCAAACCCGCAAAUCAAGCUCAAGUUCAAGAUCAAGACUGCAAGAUUCAAGAACAAGCUACUAAGCCCUUGGAUUCAAGCACAAGUCAAGAUCAAAUCCGUUAAGUUUAAGUUAAAGUUCAAGAUCAAGCUCGAAGCCCUUGAAUUUAUAAUUGAAAAGGCAAAUUAGAGGAAUCAUAGAGAUUGUAACACUCACUUAUUUAAAUCAAUAAAUCAGUUGUUGUUGUAUUUUUCUUGUCUCGAUUAUUAUUUUUGGUCUCGAGAAUUUUAUUGUCCAACAAAUUUUGGCACGCCCAGUGGGACGAUCUCUACCUCUCAUCUCAACUUUUCAGACUUUGAAGAUUAAGAAUGCUGAAAUGACUUCCAAGAAGAUCAACUCUCAAUCAACUGUUUUCAAGGCUGCUGAUUCAAGGUUCUCUGCCGAAGUGGAAAGCAUCCUUGGUGUUAAUUUUGGGAGUUUAGGAGCUGUCACGAGGAGCAAGGCAGGCUUUCUAGGACAAAAACACAUCUAGUGUUGUCCAUACCAACUCUAGUUUUUGGAUCUUCAACCCUAAAAAGAACGAAGUCCAAUACAAGUGCUUCGGAAGGAGGAAGCAGUGUCGCGAAAUCGCUUAAGAAGACUCUUGCUCUACUUGAGCAUUCUGGUUCCAAAUACUCUAACCUAAAGAGCGAUGGUUGUUCAAUAAAUGCGUCAUCUCCAUUUACACCGAAUAAGUACACUUUGAAGAUCAACCUACGCGAUAAUCCAUGUUACUCUCCAACGUCUCCAGUGAUCAUGCAAGCAAUGGUAGCUGAUGUCUCAUCUAUGGAGGAGCAGCUUGCGAAUCUUACAAAGGCAAUUAAAGUCCUGACCAACUAUGUUCAGAAUCAAGAGGCUAGGAUUGAUAAGAUAGUAGAUAGGGUGGAAGGCUUGAUAGACGGAGAAUCUAUCCAUGCACCGGGAAAAGCUCUAGAGGUUCAUAAGAUAGAAAAUCCUGUGAAAUAAAUACCACCGACUAAAGAGGUACAAGUUUUUGCUGAAGGAAUGAUCCCGAUUGGGCAAUUGAGGGAAUUUAUUGAAGGAACCCUCAAAGACAAGUAUGAUGUUGUCACCAAGUCUUCCCUUGCGUAUGCCAAUCCCUACACUGCAAGAAUAUAUAGCCUCAAAAUGUUUGUUGGCUAUCAACCCCCCAAAUUUUAAUAAUUUGAGGGCAAAGGUAAUCCAAAACAACAUGUCGCACACUUUGUUGAGACAUGUAAUAAUGCUGGAACUUACGGUGACUAUCUUGUCAAACAGUUUGUUCGUUCCCUAAAGGGAAAUUCCUUUGAUUGGUAUAAGGACCUCGAGCCUAACUCCAUCGAUAGUUGGGAGCAAUUGGAACACAAGUUCCUAAAUCUAUUUUAUAGCACAAGGCGUACAGUGAGCAUGAUAGAGCUCACAAAUACUCGACAAAGAAAGGAUGAGCCAGUCAUUGACUUCAUCAAUCGAUGGAUAAAUAGGAAUCUAAACUACAAAGAUAGGCUUAGUAAAGCUUCUGCAAUAGAGAUGUGCGUCCAAGGAAUGCACUGGAGGCUUCUCUACAUCUUGCAAGGAAUUAAACCAAAAUCCUUUGAAGAGCUAGCUGCUCGUGCUCACGACAUGGAGUUGA